rnacentral:rRNA from 1 species
GAUGAACGCUGGCGGCGUGCCUAAUACAUGCGAGUCGAGCGAACAGAUGAGGAGCUUGCUCCUCUGACGUUAGCGGCGGACGGGUGAGUAACACGUGGAUAACCUACCUAUAAGACUGGGAUAACUUCGGGAAACCGGAGCUAAUACCGGAUAAUAUAUUGAACCGCAUGGUUCAAUAGUGAAAGACGGUUUUGCUGUCACUUAUAGAUGGAUCCGCGCCGCAUUAGCUAGUUGGUAAGGUAACGGCUUACCAAGGCAACGAUGCGUAGCCGACCUGAGAGGGUGAUCGCCCACACUGGGACUGAGCCACGGUCCAGACUCCUACGGGAGGCAGCAGUAGGGACUCUUCCGCAAUGGGCGAAAGCCUGACGGAGCAACGCCGCGUGAGUGAUGAAGGUCUUCGGAUCGUAAAACUCUGCUAUUGGGGAAGAACAAAUGUGUAAGUAACUAUGCACGUCUUGACGGUACCUAAUCAGAAAGCCACGGCUAACUACGUG